rnacentral:rRNA from 1 species
GCGUUGCUCGGACUGACUGGGCGUAAAGGGCGCGUAGGCGUAUGGCACAGUCAGAUGUGAAAUUCCCGGGCUUAACCUGGGGGCUGCAUUUGAUACGUGUUGUCUAGAGUGAGGAAGAGGGUCGUGGAAUUCCCAGUGUAGGGGGGAAAUGCGUAGAUAUUGGGAAGAACAGCGGUGGCGAAGGCGGCGACCUGGUCCUUGACUGACGCUGAGGCGCGAAAGCGUG